rnacentral:rRNA from 1 species
UGCGGUUUAAUCGGACUCAACGCCGGGAAACUCACCAGAUAAGACAGCUGAAUGAUAGUCGGGCUGAAGACUCUACUUGACUAGCUGAGAGGAGGUGCAUGGCCGUCGUCAGUUCGUACUGUGAAGCAUCCUGUUAAGUCAGGCAACGAGCGAGACCCACGCCAACAGUUGCCAGCUCGUCCUCCGGGAUGGAGGGGACACUGUUGGGACCGCCUCUGCUAAAGAGGAGGAAGGAAUGGGCAACGGUAGGUCAGCAUGCCCCGAAUUAUCUGGGCUACACGCGGGCUACAAUGGGUGGGACAAUGGGUAUCGACACCGAAAGGUGAAGGCAAUCUCCUAAACCCAUCCUUAGUUCGGAUUGUGGGCUGCAACUCGCCCACAUGAAGCUGGAAUCUGUAGUAAUCGUGUCUCAAAAUGGCACGGUGAAUAUGUCCCUGCUCCUU